GUAUGCGAGAGAAACGGCAACAACUCAGAAAUGAACCCUGCGUCUCGGCCCGGAUUGUAAUCUGUAGAAGGUGCCUCGGGCGCGACACCGGUCCAAGUUCCUUGGAACGGGGCGUCAUAGAGGGUGAGAAUCCCGUACGCGGCCGGCAGUCAAGCCCGUGCGAGGCCCUUUCCACGAGUCAAGUUGUUUGGGAAUGCAGCUCUAAAUGGGUGGUAAAUUUCAUCUAAAGCUAAAUACCGGCCAGAGACCGAUAGCGCACAAGUAGAGUGAUCGAAAGAUGAAAAGCACUUUGAAAAGAGAGUCAAACAGUACGUGAAAUUGUUGAAAGGGAAGCGCCUGCAACCAGACUCGCGCGCGGGUGUUCAAUCGUCCUUCGGGGCGGUGCGCUCUCCCGUGCCCGGGCCAGCAUCGGUUCGGGCGGCCGGAUAAAGGCCCCGGGAAUGUGAUUCUCUUCGGGGAAUGUUAUAGCUCGGGGUGCAAUGCGGCCCGCCUGGACCGAGGACCGCGCUUUUGCUAGGAUGCUGGCGUAAUGGUUGCCGGCGACCCGUCUUGAAACACGGACCAAGGAGUCGACCAACAGCGCGAGUGUUUGGGCGUCAAACCCAUACGCGCAAUGAAAGUGAAAAUGGUAUGAGCUUCGGCGCAAUAUCGACCGAUCUUGAAAUUUAUGGAUGGAUUUGAGUAUGAGCGAAGUUGGUCGGACCCGAAAGAUGGUGAGCUAUGCGCGAAUAGGGUGAAGCCAGAGGAAACUCUGGUGGAGGCUCGCAGCGGUUCUGACGUGCAAAUCGAUCGUCAAAUUUGCGUAUAGGGGCGAAAGACUAAUCGAACCAUCUAGUAGCUGGUUCCUGUCGAAGUUUCCCUCAGGAUAGCAGCAACGAAAACAGUCUCAUGAGGUAGAGCGAACGAUUAGAGGCCUUGGGGCUGGAACAGCCUUAACCUAUUCUCGAACUUCGAAUAUGUGAGAAGUCCUUGUUACUUAGUUGAACGUGGACAUUGGAUGAAUCGUGACUAUGACCCCC
rnacentral:rRNA from 1 species